GACGAACGCUGGCGGCGUGCUUAACACAUGCAAGUCGAACGGAAAGGCCCUGCUUUUGUGGGGUGCUCGAGUGGCGAACGGGUGAGUAACACGUGAGUAACCUGCCCUUGACUUUGGGAUAACUUCAGGAAACUGGGGCUAAUACCGGAUAGGAUCUCCUGCUGCAUGGUGGGGGUUGGAAAGUUUCGGCGGUUGGGGAUGGACUCGCGGCUUAUCAGCUUGUUGGUGGGGUAGUGGCUUACCAAGGCUUUGACGGGUAGCCGGCCUGAGAGGGUGACCGGCCACAAUGGGACUGAGAUACGGCCCAGACUCCUACGGGAGGCAGCAGUGGGGAAUAUUGCACAGUGGGCGGAAGCCUGAUGCAGCAACGCCGCGUGCGGGAUGACGGCCUUCGGGUUGUAAACCGCUGUCGCCUGUGACGAAGCGUGAGUGACGGUAAUGGGUAAAGAAGCACCGGCUAACUACGUG
rnacentral:rRNA from 1 species